AACGCACGAGACCUGCGGACCUGCGGAAGGAUCAUUACCGAGUUUACAACUCCCAAACCCAAUGUGAACGUUACCAAACUGUUGCCUCGGCGGGAUCUCUGCCCCGGGUGCGUCGCAGCCCCGGACCAAGGCGCCCGUCGGAGGACCAACCAAAACUCUUUUGUAUACCCCCUCGCGGGUUUUUAUAUCUGAGCCAUCUCGGCGCCUCUCGUAGGCGUUUCGAAAAUGAAUCAAAACUUU
rnacentral:misc_RNA from 1 species